rnacentral:tRNA from 1 species
GCGGGUGUGGUGAAAUUGGUAGACACGCUAGAUUUAGGAUCUAGUGCUUAAACGCGUGGGGGUUCGAGUCCCUUUACCCGCA